UAACACGGGGGGCGCAAGCGUUAUUCGGAAUUAUUGGGCGUAAAGGGCGCGUAGGCGGUUCUGUCGGUCAGAUGUGAAAGCCCGGGGCUCAACCCUGGAAGUGCAUUUGAAACAGCAGAACUUGAGUACGGGAGAGGAAAGCGGAAUUCCUGGUGUAGAGGUGAAAUUCGUAGAUAUCAGGAGGAACACCGAUGGCGAAGGCAGCUUUCUGGACCGAUACUGACGCUGAGGCGCGAAGGCGUGGGUAGCGAACGGGAUUAGAUACCCCGGUAGUCCACGCAGUAAACGAUGUUCACUAGGUGUAGCGGGUAUUAAAACCUGCUGUGCCGCAGCCAACGCAUUAAGUGAACCGCCUGGGAAGUACGGUCGCAAGACUA
rnacentral:rRNA from 1 species